GAUGAACGCUGGCGGCGUGCCUAAUACAUGCAAGUCGAGCGAACAGAUAAGGAGCUUGCUCCUUUGACGUUAGCGGCGGACGGGUGAGUAACACGUGGGUAACCUACCUAUAAGACUGGAAUAACUCCGGGAAACCGGGGCUAAUGCCGGAUAACAUUUAGAACCGCAUGGUUCUAAAGUGAAAGAUGGUUUUGCUAUCACUUAUAGAUGGACCCGCGCCGUAUUAGCUAGUUGGUAAGGUAACGGCUUACCAAGGCAACGAUACGUAGCCGACCUGAGAGGGUGAUCGGCCACACUGGAACUGAGACACGGUCCAGACUCCUACGGGAGGCAGCAGUAGGGAAUCUUCCGCAAUGGGCGAAAGCCUGACGGAGCAACGCCGCGUGAGUGAUGAAGGUCUUCGGAUCGUAAAACUCUGUUAUUAGGGAAGAACAAAUGUGUAAGUAACUGUGCACGUCUUGACGGUACCUAAGCAGAAAGCCACGGCUAACUACGU
rnacentral:rRNA from 1 species